rnacentral:sRNA from 2 species
CACCGCCCCCUGCCGAAUCCGGUACGCCCCCACGGGUCCCGGAGCCGGGGACCCACCGCGUACCACCGGGGUGAAUCGGUUCUGACACCGUAGGGCAGCCUUCCGUACGCCCGAACCCGACAGCUAACCCGGCAGGCGGUCCACGGAAGGAGUU